GAUGAACGCUGGCGGCGUGCCUAAUACAUGCAAGUCGAGCGAACAGACGAGGAGCUUGCUCCUCUGACGUUAGCGGCGGACGGGUGAGUAAAACGUGGAUAACCUACCUAUAAGACUGGGAUAACUUCGGGAAACCGGAGCUAAUACCGGAUCAUAUAUUGAACCGCAUGGUUCAAUAGUGAAAGACGGUUUUGCUGUCACUUAUAGAUGGAUCCGCGCCGCAUUAGCUAGUUGGUAAGGUAACGGCUUACCAAGGCAACGAUGCGUAGCCGACCUGAGAGGGUGAUCGGCCAAACUGGAACUGAGACACGGUCCAGACUCCUACGGGAGGCAGCAGUAGGGAAUCUUCCGCGAAGGGCGAAAGCCUGACGGAGCAACGCCGCGUGUGUGAUGAAGGUCUUCGGAUCGUAAAACUCUGUUAUUAGGGAAGAACAAAUGUGUAAGUAACUAUGCACGUCUUGACGGUACCUAAUCAGAAAGCCACGGCUAACUACGUG
rnacentral:rRNA from 1 species